rnacentral:rRNA from 2 species
CUCUCGGCAACGGAUAUCUCGGCUCUCGCAUCGAUGAAGAACGUAGCGAAAUGCGAUACCUGGUGUGAAUUGCAGAAUCCCGCGAACCAUCGAGUCUUUGAACGCAAGUUGCGCCCGAGGCCACCUGGCUGAGGGCACGCCUGCCUGGGCGUCACGCCAAAUA